rnacentral:misc_RNA from 1 species
AACGCACCUUGCGCUCUCCGGUCUUCCGGAGAGCAUGCCUGUUUGAGUGUCGCUAAACCCCCUUAGGCCGAAAGGUCUGAUUCGGAUGUGUGCCGUGUUUGGCUCCGUCUAAGAUGCAAUUGGAACGUGGCCAGCGCCAUGUCUUCCGGGACAUUUGAACGUAAUUACCUUCAUGCGUCUCUUCAGGAAGAUGUUGGCUGUUGUGCUCCCCUCUGCGGAGUUGCCCUUGUGGUGCCGUGGUGUGGUCUCUUAGUGACGUGGCCUCAGAUCAGGUAGGACUACCCGCUGAACUUAA